AAGACUCUGCUUGACUAGCUGAGAGGAGGUGCGAUGGCCGUCGUCAGUUCGUACUGUGAAGCAUCCUGUUAAGUCAGGCAACGAGCGAGACCACGCCAACAGUUGCCAGCAUGUCCUCCGGGAGUGGUGGGGACGACUGUUGGGACCGCCUCUGCUAAAGAGGAGGAAGGAAUGGGCAACGGUAGGUCAGCAUGCCCCGAAUUAUCCGGGCUACACGCGGGCUACAAUGGUCAGGACAAUGGGCAUCAACACCGAAAGGUGAAGGCAAUCUCUUAAACCUGUCCUUAGUUCGGAUUGUGGGCUGCAACUCGCCCACAUGAAGCUGGAAUCUGUAGUAAUCGCGUCUCAAAAUGGCGCGGUGAAUAUGUCCCUGCUCCUU
rnacentral:rRNA from 1 species